GAGACAGCAGUAGCCGCGGUAAUACGUAGGUCCCGAGCGUUGUCCGGAUUUAUUGGGCGUAAAGGGAGCGCAGGCGGUUUAGUAAGUCUGAAGUUAAAGGCAUUGGCUCAACCAAUGUAUGCUUUGGAAACUGUUAGACUUGAGUGCAGAAGGGGAGAGUGGAAUUCCAUGUGUAGCGGUGAAAUGCGUGGAUAUAUGGAGGAACACCGGUGGCGAAAGCGGCUCUCUGGUCUGUCACUGACGCUGAGGCUCGAAAGCGUGGGUAGCGAACAGGAUUAGAUACCCCCGUAGUCCCUGUCUCUUAUACA
rnacentral:rRNA from 1 species